rnacentral:rRNA from 2 species
UAAUGUUUGAUGUUCUAACGUGGACCCGUGAUCCGGGUUGCGGACAGUGUCUGGUGGGUAGUUUGACUGGGGCGGUCUCCUCCUAAAGAGUAACGGAGGAGCACGAAGGUUGGCUAAUCCUGGUCGGACAUCAGGAGGUUAGUGCAAUGGCAUAAGCCAGCUUGACUGCGAGCGUGACGGCGCGAGCAGGUGCGAAAGCAGGUCAUAGUGAUCCGGUGGUUCUGAAUGGAAGGGCCAUCGCUCAACGGAUAAAAGGUACUCCGGGGAUAACAGGCUGAUACCGCCCAAGAGUUCAUAUCGACGGCGGUGUUUGGCACCUCGAUGUCGGCUCAUCACAUCCUGGGGCUGAAGUAGGUCCCAAGGGUAUGGCUGUUCGCCAUUUAAAGUGGUACGCGAGCUGGGUUUAGAACGUCGUGAGACAGUUCGGUCCCUAUCUGCCGUGGGCGCUGGAGAACUGAGGGGGGCUGCUCCUAGUACGAGAGGACCGGAGUGGACGCAUCACUGGUGUUCGGGUUGUCAUGCCAAUGGCACUGCCCGGUAGCUAAAUGCGGAAGAGAUAAGUGCUGAAAGCAUCUAAGCACGAAACUUGCCCCGAGAUGAGUUCUCCCUGAGACUUUAGGUCUCCUGAAGGAACGUUGAAGACGACGACGUUGAUAGGCCGGGUGUGUAAGCGCAGCGAUGCGUUGAGCUAACCGGUACUAAUGAACCGUGAGGCUUAACCUU